GCAGAAGGCCUGACGAUCGCCGGUUGGUGGUGCCCGCUCGCGGCGCACCAUCGACGGGAGGAAAGUCCGAGCUCCAUAGGGCAGGGUGCCGGGUAACGCCCGGGAGGAGCGAUCCUACGGAUAGUGCAACAGAGAGCAGACCGCCGCCCCGCAUUUGCGUCGGCGGUAAGGGUGAAACGGUGGGGUAAGAGCCCACCGCGCGGCCGGUAACGGUCGUGGCAAGGUAAACCCCACCCGGAGCAAAGCCACGCAGGGGGCGCCGUGCAGUCGUUGGGCACGAAAGAGCUGCCCGCUCAAGCCCCCGGGUAGGCUGCUUGAGGUGUCCGGUAACGGGCACCCUAGAGGAAUGAUCGUCGCCGUCGGGAAACCGACGGAACAGAACUCGGCUUACGGCCUUCUGCGGCC
rnacentral:RNase_P_RNA from 1 species